rnacentral:rRNA from 1 species
AGAGUUUGAUCCUGGCUCAGGAUGAACGCUAGCUAUAGGCUUAACACAUGCAAGUCGAGGGGCAGCGAAUAGAUAGCUUGCUAUUUAUGUCGGCGACCGGCGCACGGGUGAGUAACGCGUAUCCAACCUGCCCAUAACUAAGGGAUAACCCAGCGAAAGUUGGACUAAUACCUUAUGUAUUCGUUUGAUCUCAUGAGAUUACGAAUAAAGAUUUAUCGGUUAUGGAUGGGGAUGCGUCUGAUUAGCUUGUUGGCGGGGUAACGGCCCACCAAGGCAACGAUCAGUAGGGGUUCUGAGAGGAAGGUCCCCCACAUUGGAACUGAGACACGGUCCAAACUCCUACGGGAGGCAGCAGUGAGGAAUAUUGGUCAAUGGACGCAAGUCUGAACCAGCCAAGUAGCGUACAGGAUGACGGCCCUAUGGGUUGUAAACUGCUUUUAUAUGGGGAUAAAGUGGGGAACGUGUUCCCUUUUGCAGGUACCAUAUGAAUAAGGACCGGCUAAUUCCGUG